AAAUUGAAGAGUUUGAUCAUGGCUCAGAUUGAACGCUGGCGGCAGGCCUAACACAUGCAAGUCGAACGGUAACAGAAAGCAGCUUGCUGCUUUGCUGACGAGUGGCGGACGGGUGAGUAAUGUCUGGGAAACUGCCUGAUGGAGGGGGAUAACUACUGGAAACGGUAGCUAAUACCGCAUAACGUCGCAAGACCAAAGAGGGGGACCUUCGGGCCUCUUGCCAUCGGAUGUGCCCAGAUGGGAUUAGCUUGUUGGUGGGGUAACGGCUCACCAAGGCGACGAUCCCUAGCUGGUCUGAGAGGAUGACCAGCCACACUGGAACUGAGACACGGUCCAGACUCCUACGGGAG
rnacentral:rRNA from 1 species